rnacentral:rRNA from 1 species
CCUACGGGAGGCAGCAGUGGGGGAUAUUGCACAAUGGCGGAAACCCUGAUGCAGCGACGUCGCGUGAGUGAAGAAUUAUUUCUGUAUGUAAAGCUCUAUCUGUACGGAAGAAAAUGACAGUACCUGACCAUGUUUCCCCGUCUAACUCCGUUCCAGCAGCCGCGGUAAUAUGUAGGGGGCAAGCGUUAUCCGGAUUGACUGGGCGUAAAGGGAGCGUAGGCGGUUUUUUAAGUCUGUCGUGAAAGCGCGGGGCUCAACCACGGGACUGCUUGGGAAACUGUGUAACUGGAGUACAGGAGAGGCAGGCGGAAGUCGUGGUGUAGCGGUGAAAUGCGUAGAUAUCAGGAGGAACCCCGACGGCGAAGGCAGCCUGCUGCACUGUUACUGACGUUGAGGCUCGAAAGCGUGGGGAGCAAACAGGAUUAGAUACCCGUGUAGUC